rnacentral:rRNA from 1 species
GACGAACGCUGGCGGCGUGCUUAACACAUGCAAGUCGAACGGAAAGGCCUGCUUUCCUUUGUGGAUUGCGGGUACUCGAGUGGCGAACGGGUGAGUAACACGUGAGUGAUCUGCCCCCAACUUGGGUAUAAGCCUGGGAAACUGGGUCUAAUUCCCGAUAGGACUGCAGGGUGGUGCCUGUGGUGGAAAACGAUUUUCUAGUGGUUGGGGAUGAGCUCGCGGCCUAUCAGCUUGUUGGUGGGGUAAUGGCCUACCAAGGCGGCGACGGGGAGCCGGCCUGAGAGGGUGGACGGCCACAUUGGGACUGGGAUACGGCCCAGACUCGUGCGGGAGGCAGCAGUGGGGAAUAUUGCGCAAUGGGCGGAAGCCUGAUGCAGCGACGCCGCGUGGGGGAUGACGGCCUUCGGGUUGUAAACUCCUUUCGACCGCGAGGAAGCCACCUGGUUGGAAGGGUGGUGACGGUAGUGGUAGAAGAAGCACCGGCUAACUACGUG